CACAAAAGAUUGUCAAACUCGAAGAAAUACAGGAGAAGAAAAAGUCAAUGCAGUCUUUGCUGCAUUUACAAGCAUGGCAUAAGAUGCAAUUGGAAGAAAAAGGGAUGUUGGUACUGAUACUAAUAGAACAGCUCCAACUGGAAUAUUCACAUAGGUAUAUCUCCUGUACUUGCAUUUAUAAGCAUCUUCUUUGGUUCUUUGACAAAGAGUUGGGCAACAACUUGAGGCAUCCUCCCAUCACCUCCAUCACAAAAGUGAUGCCCAUGUAUAACUUUCUCAAACUUGGAAAUCUAACUCAUGAUAUAUAUGACUUCUCUCAUAUGUUGUGUCAUGACAAAUAUACAAGAGUACAAGUAU
rnacentral:lncRNA from 1 species